AUUGAACGCUGGCGGCAGGCUUAACACAUGCAAGUCGAACGAGUGGCGGACGGGUGAGUAAUGCUUGGGGAUCUGGCUUAUGGAGGGGGAUAACUACGGGAAACGGUAGCUAAUACCGCAUACCAUAGGAUGAACCCAAGUGGGAUUAGGUAGUUGGUGGGGUAAAGGCUCACCAAGCCGACGAUCUCUAGCUGGUCUGAGAGGAUGACCAGCCACACGGGGACUGAGACACGGCCCAGACUCCUACGGGAGGCAGCAGUGGGGAAUAUUGCGCAAUGGGGGCAAGCUGAUGCAGCCAUGCCGCGUGAAUGAAGAAGGCCUUAGGGUUGUAAAGUUCUUUCGGUAGGGAGGCGUUAACUACAGAAGAAGCACCGGCUAACUCCGUGCCAGCAGCCGCGGUAAUUC
rnacentral:rRNA from 1 species